UUUUAUUCUUAACCAUACAUUUGAUAAGUACCAUAAAUUGGAUGGUUUGGAUUGCUUGAUCAGUAUGGUAUUUGAGAUAUGCUCCAUCCAUAAUGUGCCCCACGAUUUGGAUGAUUGGAUGGUCUGGGUAAUAAGCACCAUUAUCAAAGUGUUGGUGAACUAUCAUAUGGGUGUAGCCAUCUGAUUUAUUUUUUUCAUCCUGUUUGAAGGGAUUCUUGGAUGAUCAAUACACACAGCUGCAGCAGUUGCAAGAUGGGAGCAACCCAGAUUUUGUUUUGGAAGUGGUGUCUCUCUUCUUUGAUGAUUCUGAGAAGCUUCGUAAUGAUUUGGGCAGAGCUCUGUGAGGAAUUUGCUUCUCUCUCUCUCUUGUUGGAUAUUGAAAAGAUCACUUUUUCUAUGUUUUUCUUUUCUUGAAGAGAUCAGCAGCCUGUAGAUUUCAAAAAGGUUGAUGGCCAUGUUCAUCAGUUGAAGGGCAGCAGCUCCAGGUAUUUCACUCCAUCCAAAUAUCCAAUUUGUUUCCAUCUCUCUCAAGAAACCCAACUUCCUAAUUCUAUGACAAACCUACUUGUUUGAAACCUGUUGUGGAUGGUCCAUGCACCAGAAAUCCCCCAAAUUCAAAGAAAUCAUAAUCCUUCAAUAGAAAUCUGACAAAGAUGCUUAACAAAUAAAUCACAUCAUAGGCUCACAUUCAACUCAAAAAAGGUCAAACUAAACAAGGGACCACUUGACUUGUGUUGGACGUGCAUGAAAAUAUUAAAAUGUGUACCUUGGAAUAGAGACCACUUGACUUGUGUUGGACGUGCAUAAACACCACUCUCUCUCUCAUAUAUAAACAAGGGAUCAUGUAUAUAGAGAUGUGAGUGUGUGCACAUGUGUGGGGGUGUGUAUACACACAUGCAUAUAUACAUGAUCACCAGUUUAUUUGUUGGUGAACUUCCACAAUAGUGAUGCAUUUUCUAUGACUUGCAUGCUUAUGUCAAAGCAUGAAUCUAGAGAAUUUGGCACGCAUUGAGUUCCAAUAAUUGAGUCAGUUGAGUUUUCAGAUUUCUAAACUAUGCUGCAACAUGAGAGGUUUUCUAACAGUUGUUGCAAGGUUUUCAGGAUGUGGUGGUGUCGGAAAAUAAGGCAGUUGGUGGGAUUCUCGAGGAAAAGGUGAAAUUGAUUUUGGUUCAGUCCUUCAUAAAAUCAAGAUAUCAGAGGAGCAAAGAAAAUAUUUUAUUGAUAACACAGAGCCCCUGGGCCAUUUUCAUAUAAGAUUUGAGUUCAGGCUGGUACUUGGAGCUCAGCCAAACCAGGCUGACUUAGCUGAGUCAGCAAGGCGAUUAGCGUAUUUUAAAAUUGCCACAUUAGAUUUAAUUGUGGAAACAAACUUUAUCUUGUAGCUGGAGCUUCGGAUCUUUAUGCAUCUUGCAAACUAUCAGAGCAUGUUGAAUGCCUUCAAGGCUAGUGGGGAUUUCCAUUCAAGGAUGGUAAUGAAUAUGUACCCACAUAUUCGCAAGGCUGUAGAGGGAAAAGGGGUGUUGCUUGAAUGGUAGCCUCAACCCAGGGAAGACAAACCUCCAGUUCCUCUAUUAAAGGAUGCCUUUGCUUUUGAGAGAUGAAAAGCAAAAAUGCUUAACUUCUCUAUUGCAUAUGGGAAAGCUCCUGCUGGGCUGGCCCGUGAUUGUAAGUGGCGCUGCCAAAGAUCAUGAAGGCAACGGGGUAUGAAAUAAUUAAUGAAGGUAAGGAAAACCAUUUCAAUUUUGAACUUUGGUUGCUAUUUAUUUUCCUUGUAGAAAUUGUACCUUGCAUGAGGAAGGAACAUGUCUGGGUUUGAGUCCCAACCUGGGUUGGACUUGGGCCUAAUAUAGACCCAUUGACAGGCCUAGCUCUAAUUUAAAAUGGGUUGGCCUUAGGCCUAAGUCAGGUUGGCCUAUGUGUUAACAGACCCAACCUGCUUUUAAGGUGGGUUCAAGCCAAACUAAUUGGGUAGUGGGUUGGGUUCGAGCUAGAAAUUUGUCCAUUUAAAUAAUGGGUUAGGCUGGGGUUGAACCUACCUAAUGGGUUGAGCCGGAUGACCUUGCAUAGGUUACUAAUGGGUUGAGCCGGAUGACCCUACAUAGGUUUCUAAUGGGUUGAGCCAGAUGAGCUGGUUUGACUCGAGCCAAAACCCAAAACAAAAUAAAGAACAAAAGUAUGGAUAAAUUUAUUGCCUGGACCCAAACUCAACAUGAUUUCUUCAGUCCAAUUGAUUGAACCUGAGCUCGUUAAAAUUGGGUUAGGUUCAUAGGCCACGGCUUCGGGUACCCAUUGGCAUCCCUAUCGACCUCAAUAUGACCCCAAUGAUAAAUGGGGUUGGAUUCGGAUAAGAGGCCAGUAUCGACCCAUUAAAUUAGUGGGACGGUUGCUUUAGAUU